rnacentral:rRNA from 1 species
AUUGAACGCUGGCGGCAUGCUUUACACAUGCAAGUCGAACGGCAGCGCGGGCUUCGGCCUGGCGGCGAGUGGCGAACGGGUAAGUAAUACAUCGGAACGUGCCCAGUAGUGGGGGAUAGCUCGGCGAAAGCCGGAUUAAUACCGCAUACGACCUGAGGGUGAAAGCGGGGGAUCUUCGGACCUCGCGCUAUUGGAGCGGCCGAUGGCAGAUUAGCUAGUUGGUGGGGUAAAGGCCUACCAAGGCGACGAUCUGUAGCUGGUCUGAGAGGACGACCAGCCACACUGGGACUGAGACACGGCCCAGACUCCUACGGGAGGCAGCAGUGGGGAAUUUUGGACAAUGGGCGAAAGCCUGAUCCAGCAAUGCCGCGUGUGUGAUGAAGGCCUUCGGGUUGUAAAGCACUUUUGGCGGGAACGAAAAGGACUGUGCCAAUACCACGGUUCGAUGACGGUACCCGCAGAAUAAGCACCGGCUAACUACGUG